rnacentral:rRNA from 1 species
CCUGGCUCAGGAUGAACGCUGGCGGCGUGCCUAACACAUUCAAGUCGAACGGUGAAGUACCUUCGGGUACGGAUCAGUGGCGGACGGGUGAGUAACGCGUGAGCAACCUGCCUUUCAAGUUUGGAAUAGCUCCUGGAAACGGGAAUUAAUACCGGAUGUGAUCAUUAGAACGCAUGUUCUUUUGAUGAAAGCUUUAUGCGCUUGAGGAUGAGCUCGCGUCCCAUUAGCUAGUUGGUGAGGUAACGGCUCACCAAGGCAAUGAUGGGUAGCUGGUCUGAGAGGACGAUCAGCCACACUGGGACUGAGAACUGCCCAGACUCCUACGGGAGGCUGCAGUCGAGAAUUUUGGGCAAUGGGCGAAAGCCUGACCCAGCAAUGCCGCGUGCGGGAUGAAGGUCUUCGGAUUGUAAACCGCUGUCAAGAGGGACGAAAAAUUGACGGUACCUCUGAAGGAAGUCACGGCUAACUACGUG